UCAUAAGCAUGCUUGGCCAAGGAGCUUAU
rnacentral:piRNA from 1 species